GAAAACUCUCCAGCGUAGAAUUCAGGAACCCUGAGUUUUCUAUCUCUGUCUAGUUCUGGACUGAAUGGGCUCAAGUCAUCUAGUUAACCUCUCUGGAUUUCAGUCUUCUGAAAAGUGAAGCUAAGAGAUCUAGCAUUCUGCAGAAAAGUACUGGAGAUGACUCAGGACUGAAAAUGAUCAUGAAGCCCCUUUGCAAAUAUCAAAGUGGUGAUGAAGCAGUCAUGAACUUUGACCAGAAGCCGUGUUUUGUGGGAUUGCCACUUUAAUCGCUCCUGUUCAUCAUUAGGACUGCAGCCAGAGUGUGGAAGGAGUGACAGCACAGAGGAAGAGAUGGUCCAAGACCAAAGAGGAAAGAAAUGGCAUAAGAUGGGACAGUGUUCUAUGAUCUCUAACUGGCCAAAGAAAAAUGAGAAACAAAUUUAAAAGAAGACAGUUGGAUGACUUAAACACCACCCCUGAGAGGCAGCUGUUUCCAGAAUAUUGCACAAUUUAUUGAGUUCAUGAGAAUCGUGAUCGUUGGCAGCACCGAACUUCACGGAGGGAAUCAUAGGCACUUUAAUUCCAAUUUGUUGACUUAUGGAGGAAGAAAUUUCUCCCAGUGGUGUCCCUUCAUCCAGGAACAAGAGCCAUCAAAGUGUCACAGACUUAGAGCCGGAAGGGCUCUCCGCUAGUGUUUCUGCCAGUCCUCUUGGUUUUACACAUGAGGAAACUGAGGCCCAGAGAAGUUACCCAGUAGCAGAUCUGCAAGUCACCCAGUAGCAGAUCUGCAAGGAGCUCUUAGCAAUCCUGACUCCAAGUGUAAUGCUCUUGCAUUAGCUCUGUGCUGCCUCCUAGAUGUUGGUCUUCUUAAUGUUGAUAGCACAUUUGCUCAAAUGUUUGCUAAUAUGGUUUGGCUGUGUCCUCACCCAAAUCUCAUCUUGAAUUGUAGUUCCCAUAAUCCCCACUUGUCGUGGCAGGGACCCAGUGGGAGGUAAUUUAAUCAUGGGUGUGGUUACCCUCAUGCUGUUCUCAUGAUAGGGAGUGAAGUCUCACGAGAUCUGAUGGUUUUAUAAACAAGAGUUCUCCUGCACAAGCUCUGUUGCCUGCUGCCAUGUAAGAAGUCCCUUUGCUCUUCCUUCAUCUUCCGCCAUGAUUGUGAGGCCUCCCCAGCCAUAAGGAACCAUGAGUUCAUUAAACCUCUUUUUUUAUAAAUUA
rnacentral:lncRNA from 10 species